rnacentral:lncRNA from 1 species
UUUACAGGGGGAGAAAUUAAGACUUAGAGAAAAAAGUUGCAUCUUACCAAGAUAGGCCACUUGCUAGUAAAUGCAGAGCUGACAAGGAACAAUGCUGGGACUGCUGGAAAAAGAAGGAGCUGCCCUUGAGGUGGUUUGCGUCACCAAGCCAGACUCAGGAGGGCACAGGAGGAGGCUGGAUGACUUGCCAUCUGCAGCCGUUGUAGUGAUAUCGGCAGCUUCUAUUAACAAAAAGAGCUUUUUGCCUGCUGCAGAGUUCCAGCUGGAACUCUCCUACACUUUUUCUUCACAAAACAGCAAACACCCAAGGGGGCAAAAUUGAAAAGAACCGAAACAGCACAAAAAUUUUCCAAUUGUGAAUAUGUUGGGAUAGCAGAUGAGGUGAAGAAUUCCUACUGUUCUAAAAACUGAGAAAAAACAAUCAUGGAAAGUUUUCUCAGAGCGAAGCUUUCUUAGUGUAUUAUGUCUCCCUGGCUUACUACCAGCAAGUGGGAAAGACUAGCUUCCUAAAGUACUAUGCU